rnacentral:rRNA from 1 species
GGAGUCUGGGCCGUGUCUCAGUCCCAAUGUGGCCGGCCAACCUCUCAGUCCGGCUACCGAUCGUUGACUUGGUGGGCCGUUACUCACCAACUAUCUAAUCGGACGCGAGCCCAUCUCAGACCGGAAUUGCUUCCUUUGGUACAGAAAGGAUGCCCUCUCCGCACUUCAUGCGGUAUUAGCACAAGUUUCCCUGUGUUAUUCCACUGUCCAAGGCAAGUUGCUCACGCGUUACUCACCCGUCCGCCACUAACUUAAAGAAAAGCGAACUCCUCUUUAAGUCCGUUCGACUUGCAUGUGUUAAGCACGCCGCCAGCGUUCGUCCUGAGCCAUGAUCAAACUACU